rnacentral:rRNA from 1 species
UACGUAGGGUGCAAGCGUUAAUCGGAAUUACUGGGCGUAAAGGGUGCGUAGGCGGCUUCUUAUGUCUGGUGUGAAAUCUCCCGGCUCAACUGGGAGGGUGCGCCGGAUACUGAGGGGCUAGAGUGUGGGAGAGGAAAGUGGAAUUCCUGGUGUAGCGGUGAAAUGCGUAGAUAUCAGGAGGAACACCGGUGGUGUAAACGGCUUUCUGGACCAUAACUGACGCUGAGGCACGAAAGCGUGGGUAGCAAACAGG